AGUGAACGCUGGCGGUAGGCCUAACACAUGCAAGUCGAACGGCAGCACAGUAAGAGCUUGCUCUUACGGGUGGCGAGUGGCGGACGGGUGAGGAAUACAUCGGAAUCUACUUUUUCGUGGGGGAUAACGUAGGGAAACUUACGCUAAUACCGCAUACGACCUACGGGUGAAAGCAGGGGAUCUUCGGACCUUGCGCGAUUGAAUGAGCCGAUGUCGGAUUAGCUAGUUGGCGGGGUAAAGGCCCACCAAGGCGACGAUCCGUAGCUGGUCUGAGAGGAUGAUCAGCCACACUGGAACUGAGACACGGCCCAGACUCCUACGGGAGGCAGCAGUGGGGAAUAUUGGACAAUGGGCGCAAGCCUGAUCCAGCCAUACCGCGUGGGUGAAGAAGGCCUUCGGGUUGUAAAGCCCUUUUGUUGGGAAAGAAAAGCAGCGGGUUAAUACCCCGCUGUUCUGACGGUACCCAAAGAAUAAGCACCGGCUAACUUCGUG
rnacentral:rRNA from 1 species